rnacentral:rRNA from 1 species
AGCGGCGGAUAGGUGAGUAACACGUGGGGAACCUGCCCCUAAGUCUGGGAUACCAUUUGGAAACAGGUGCUAAUACCGGAUAAUAAAGCAGAUCGCAUGAUCAGCUUUUGAAAGGCGGCGUAAGCUGUCGCUAAGGGAUGGCCCCGCGGUGCAUUAGCUAGUUGGUAAGGUAACGGCUUACCAAGGCGACGAUGCAUAGCCGAGUUGAGAGACUGAUCGGCCACAUUGGGACUGAGACACGGCCCAAACUCCUACGGGAGGCAGCAGUAGGGAAUCUUCCACAAUGGAUGCAAGUCUGAUGGAGCAACGCCGCGUGAGUGAAGAAGGUUUUCGGAUCGUAAAGCUCUGUUGUUGGUGAAGAAGGAUAGAGGUAGUAACUGGCCUUUAUUUGGCGGUAAUCAACCAGAAAGUCACGGCUAACUACGUGCCAGCAGCCGCGGUAAUACGUAGGUGGCAAGCGUUGUCCGGAUUUAUUGGGCGUAAAGCGAGCGCAGGCGGAAAAAUAAGUCUAAUGUGAAAGCCCUCGGCUUAACCGAGGAACUGCAUCGGAAACUGUUUUUCUUGAGUGCAGAAGAGGAGAGUGGAACUCCAUGUGUAGCGGUGGAAUGCGUAGAUAUAUGGAAGAACACCAGUGGCGAAGGCGGCUCUCUGGUCUGCAACUGACGCUGAGGCUCGAAAGCAUGGGUAGCGAACAGGAUUAGAUACCCUGGUAGUCCAAUGCCCGUAGACGAUGAGUGCCCAGUAG